AGAGUUUGAUCAUGGCUCAGGACGAACGCUGGCGGCGUGCUUAACACAUGCAAGUCAAGGGGGCCCAGCAAUGGGCAACCGGCGAACGGGUGCGUAACACGUGAGCAACCUACCGAACUGUGGGGGAUAGCCGGCCUAACGGCCGAGUAAUACCGCAUACGCUCUCAGAGAGGCAUUUUUUUGAGAGGAAACCUACGGGACAGAUCGAGGGGCUCGCGGCCUAUCAGCUAGUUGGCGAGGUAACGGCUCACCAAGGCAACGACGGGUAGCUGGUCUGAGAGGAUGGCCAGCCACAUUGGGACUGAGAUACGGCCCAGACUCCUACGGGAGGCAGCAGUGGGGAAUCUUGCGCAAUGGCCUAACGGCUGACGCAGCGACGCCGCGUGUGGGAUGAAGCUCCUCGGAGUGUAAACCACUGUUGCCCGGGACGAAUAGCUCGAUUAAUCGAGCCUGACGGUACCGGGUGAGGAAGCACCGGCUAACUCCGUGCCAGCAGCCGCGGUAAUACGGGGGGUGCGAGCGUUGUCCGGAAUCACUGGGCGUAAAGGGCGCGUAGGUGGUUUGAUAAGGGUGUGGUGAAAGUCCGGGGCUCAACCCCGGAUCUGCCGUGCCGACUGUCAAACUCGAGGGCUGUAGAGGCAGGCGGAAUUCCGGGUGUAGCGGUGGAAUGCGUAGAGAUCCGGAGGAAGACCGGUGGCGAAGGCGGCCUGCUGGGCAGUUUCUGACACUGAUGCGCGACAGCGUGGGGAGCAAACAGGAUUAGAUACCCUAGUAGUCC
rnacentral:rRNA from 1 species